UGUGUGUGUGUGUUUGUGUGUGGUGUGUGUGUGUGUGUGUGUGUGUGUGUGUGUGUGUGUGUGUGUGUGUGUGUGUGUGUGUGUGUGUUUCUCUCUUUCAGUAAUAGUUAUUUGUGUGUUAUUAUCCCUGACUGUGUGUCUGUGUGUCGCUGUGGGGAUGUUCUACAUCAGAAUGAAAAAGAGGAACACACACACUCCAGUGAGUGAAAAGAAAGAGCCUGACGAUUUGGUGUACGUCCAGGUGACCACUGGUAGCAAUGGCAGAAGACAAAUAUCAGACAUUCAAGGUACAAGAGUGGAAACAGAGGAUGUGGUGUAUUCUGGCGUUGCCAUGGCAAAUAGGAGCAGCAGGCAUAAAAGCAGGAAGCCACCAGCAGCUGAGGCGUAUGAGUUGGAGUAUGCUGAGGUGUCUGCCUUCAGUAAGCGACGGGGCCCAACUGAGAGUCACAGGCCAGAGGAGUCGGUUGAGUACGGGGAAGUGAGAGUCCACACAUCACACUGACCCACAGCAGGCAGACAGUGUGUAUGCUCA
ensembl:lncRNA